rnacentral:lncRNA from 1 species
GGCUUCCAAAAUUUUUCUGAGCCAGCCGGACAUUUUAUAUUUGAUCCGAAUUUUUAUUCCUAAGACAAAGUCACAAAAGGCAAUUAUGGUAAUCAGAUGGCCAUCCCAAUGAUUGACAUUAAGUUAAAAUCGAUAUCAAACUUUACUUUGAUAUGAAUUUGAUGUUCUGACAUAAACUGUUAAAAUUGGCAUUGCAUCAUUUAAAGUGUGCACAUCAGCGUGCUCAUAUCUGCAUUAGACUCUUUAUUUGUGCAAAAUGAAGUUGUCUAGAACUUUAUUUUCAAUUUUAAAGUCACAUUUUUCAAAACCGGAUGUUGACUUGACAAUGGUAAAACAUGGACCAUAAACGGAUACGUAAAAUCCGUGUACGUUAACAUAGAACUACUGAGCGAAGAAGCUCUUUCCACGUUAUUUCUUCAACAAAAUACUUGAAAUGAACGUUAGAUACAGGUAUCAAUGAUACUUUUAGCAUUUUUGAAGAAAUGUAGGAUGCAUAAUUGAAUUUCCCACCUGUGCACAUGCGCACAUGUGUUCUUGUUCAUACAACGUAGUGCUGACGAUUUUUCAUUUAAAACCUUUUUAAAUGAUUUAUCAAAUCAUGUUUAUAAAUGUAUUUAUUAUAUAUUUUAAACCAAUUAGAUACAAGCUGCUUAAAUGUACGAAAAUAAUUGGGAAUGGACCGAUUAAUUUAUACGAUGUCCGGUACUGAAAAUAGUUUUACUGUCACCUGAACAGGUAGUUUUCAGCUGUCCAACAACUAAUUAGCCUUGAUUAAUUAGAAAGUAUUGAAGUAGGGUUGUUUUGGUAGUAAUUAAUCAUCAUGUCACUUUUAUGACCGGAAAUGUAUGGCUGUUAAAGGCAAAAUGUUGGGUAAAAAAGAUCGUGAAAUUAUAUGUUAAAAUGACCGAAAAAGCUUUUGAAACUAAAAAGUAGAUGACCGUUUCAUGCUUUGCCAAGCCGGUCU